AGAAGAUCAAUUACUGGUUACAUAAUCAAGUAUGGAGAUUCUCCAAUAUCUUGGAAAUCCAAGAAGCAGUCUACUAUUUCUAGAAGCUCUGCUGAAGCAGAGUACAGGAGUCUGGCCUCCACUAUUGCAGAGAUUACUUGGAUCAUUGGUUUGUUCAAGACAUUGGAUGUACCAUUGGUGUUACCUGUUUCACUGCAUUGUGAUAGCAAAGCAGCUAUUCAGAUUGCUGCUAAUCCAGUGUUCCAUGAGAGAACCAAACAUAUUGAUAUUGAUUGUCAUUUUAUUAGAGAAAAGGUGUCAAAAGGUCUUGUUGUCUUACAAUACUUAUGCUCAUUUGAACAGCCAGCUGAUAUCCUAACUAAAGGACAAAGCAAACAUCAACAUUUUCAUCUUAUCUCCAAGCUAAGAAUGAAGAACAUCUUCAUAUCUUCUAGCUUGAAGGGGGCUAUUAGAGAUUGUAAAUAAUUAACUAGAUUAGUUGAUAGUUAGUUAAUAGUUAGUUGAUAGUUAGUUAGGAUAUAUUGAGAAGAUUCUAGAAGAUGGUUUUCUUGUAAAUAAGUCACUUAGUACAUGUGUAUAUAUAUGUAGAGAGUAAUGAUCAAUAAUAAAAUUGUGAUUGCUUCUUCCUCCAUAAUUCAAUUGUGCAAUCAGAUUCAGUUUCCAUCAGGAUAAUCAACUCAAUUUAAUUUAUUUCAGAAAAAGGCAAAUAGUUUAUCUAUUGACCAAUAUGCCCCUGAUUCCACUUCCCCAGAAUUUUGCCUUAUUUAACACACAGGUACUCUCUGAGAAGCAUCAAAUUCGAGCAUAGCCAAGAAUGGAAGAAGAAUGAGGCGACAGAGAAUUUGGGAUUUUCUCGAAACGGUGGUUGCCCAUCUCCAGUUUGCCAGUGAUUUCUCCGUUAAACAAAAAACCAACAACCCUUUCAAAUGAACCAGGAAAGCCCGCACAACUACUCUUGUUCCUCUUCCUCUUCUCUUUCACCGCUCUUUUUGCUGCUGAUGUUAUAAUGUGGCUAUGAUGAUUGAUUGCUUCCUCUCUGGGCUAUGUUCAAUCACGACAAUGAGAAAACUCCGACACGUAUCUUGGCAGGGCGACCCUGUUAAGGCUUUGAAUAGCAAACUGGUGUCUGCAGCCAUGGCGGUGUCGCUUUUCUCUUUUGCUUUGUUAAGAAAUACAGCAAAAUCUGAGCCCUUAAUAUCCCAUUUCUUGGUCUUGAAUGGUGAUUCCAUUCUCGGGUUGGAAAACCCAUUACGGGUUAAAGACGAAGAAUGAGGCAUCUGAGAAAUUGGGAUUUUCUGCGAAGGGUGGUUGCCCAUCUCUGUUUUGCCAGUGAUUUCGCCAUUCAUAACCAAAAAAAUAACCAACAGCCCUUUAAAAUAAACAAAAUAAAUAAAUAAAUAAUUGGAUGAACUUCGUCCGGACACCCCUACUUUUGUUGUUGUUGUUGUUGUUGAUGAUGUUUUAAAGGGGCUGUGAUGAUUGCUUGCUUCCUUUUUGAGCAUUUUUCAAUCACGACAUUGAGAAAAUCCGACCCGUAUCUUGGCAGGGCAACCUGGUUAAGGCUUUGAAUAGCAAACUAGUGUCUGCAGCCAUGGCGUUGUCGCUCUUCUCAAUCCUCUUCUCAAUCGCUUGAUUCAAAUACAGCAAAUCUGAGCCCUCAAUAAUUUGUUUCAUGGUUUUUGAAAGUGAGUCUUCUCAGUUCGGAAAACCUAUUAUGGGUCUGUGUUGAAAAUUCAGCUCUGAAGAAUGAGGCAUACAGCGGGAAAUUCGAAGACGAAAAAAACAAAUAAUUUCCCCAAACAUGGAAAAGGUUAGCCUAGAAGGAAAGAAAUGAGCCAAAUUUAUCUUAUUUUAUUCUAUACCAUACCUAUUUAAAGUAGCGUUUAUUCCCAAAUUUGAUGCCCUUUUCUAUAUCUUGAUAGUCCAAAAAUUCUGAGGCUAUGAAGAUUAUCCUAAAAAAGACAGGAAAACAUUUGAGUUAAUUCCAAGACGUGGCUUGGCAAAGAGAACUUGGAAGGUCUGUGAAGGAGGAUGAGAAAUAAUAAGUUUCUUGUUGUCCGUUAUUACGAGGCAACCAAUCUUUGCAGCCAUGCCUGUUUUAUCUCUGCUCUUUGAUUACAUAGGCAAAAAUCUGAGCCUCCUACCUCAAUUUAACAUAACGUUUCAUGAUUUGAUCACUGAAACAGUAUCUGUUAGGGGCUUUCUUGAAUUGAUCUAAAAAUUCAGUUACUGCUUUUAAAUCUUAAAAUUGAUUUUAUUUUUUCAAAAAUGUUGUGAGAUAAUUUGAUUUUCAUGAAAAGAGUGGCAAACAAUGUCAUGGUCUCGAGUCUUGAUGCCUUCAUGUCUCCACUAACUUAUUUCUGAAAUUUGGUGACUGGUCACAAGCAAGAGUCGAUGAUAGCUAACACAGGUGAUGGUAAAUGUUGAUAGGAAAGUAAAAACAUUCAUUUCUGAAAUUUGAUGACUGGUCCCAAACAAGAGUCGAUGGUAGCAAAACACAAGUGGCUAUGAAUGUUGAUAGGAAAGUAGAACUACUUUAAGUUUCAACUGACAAGUCUAUCUAAAGUUUGGUGAGUAAUAAACUUUGUAUGUUGAACUUUCUUUUUCAUUAUCAGUUAUCCUAAUGGUAAGUAAUAAUAACUUCUAUGCAUCAUGAGUAUAUCUCUUGCAAAGAAUCCCUCAAAUUGUCAAUGCAUGGUGAAUUCUGUAUUAGCGCUCUUUUGUAAGUCAGAAUGUCCUUGAGUCUCACUGGACUUUUACUUGACAUGCUCAAAGCCUCUUGUUGCAAGGUCUUUAGCAUCUUGAAGACAGUUACAGAACUUUUGCCUUACGAUUCCAAGAAUUCUGGGAGGUUAAUCUUUAUCUUGUACUUUCUUGUGGUUCCUUUAGAGACUCUUCACUAAAAAAUCACUGGACAUUUAGUUGGAACAGGUGUGAAAUUGGGAGGGACGGGUAUUAAGAAGUAGUAGUGAUUGAAUAGUUAUGUUGUGUAUAUGAGCAAGCAUUAUCCCUCUAUUGUAAUUUUUGCUUGCGUUUUCUGGAUACCUUUAAUGAUUUACCUUUACUUCAUAAAAAUAAGUAUUGUCAAGGUCAAAGCGAAAAUCUUCAAAAAACAUUCUUAUUUGUUCAUCUGAGUUGCUCAUCCUGAUGUUUUAGUUUUGGACGAGAUCAGCUGAAGACCAGCUGAGUGCAAACUACAUCUUCUUGGUGCAUGGACAAAAACAAAUUGGUUCAUUAUACUUAAUGAAUGGGGCUUUAAGACAGUUUCAUGAUGUUUAACCAUUUUCUUAAUCUUGUCCAAAUCUUGCAGACUCUACUGGAGAUAAAGAGAAGGAACACUUCCAUACCCGGGUCUGCCGUGGCUUUAAAAAGUAAACUCUAUGCAUGAAGUUGUCAUUUGCAUAAUCAUAUGCAUAGUACUUCAGGGCAUGGAGAACUCAUUAAAAAUGGUUUGUGAUUUCUACUUCACCUUUAUUUUUAUGUCUUAUCUUCAUUUUAACUUGCUAUUUUUUGAAAUUCUAUGUGUGUUGUUAAUGAGCAAUUGUUUGUAAUCAUCAAUUUAUAUGGGAAACUCUAGGUUGUCCUAUGGCUGUGAGUUAAAGAAAUGAAAUUGGCUCUUAAUGAGUAUAAAGUGAAAUAUUAUUGCUGCGUUUCUCACAAGGGGAAUCACAAUGGAUGCUGAAACAAAAGAAAAGAUAGAUGAAAAGACACAAGAUAAGUAACAAUUGGAAACUAAAGGAUGUAUUAAAUCCAAUAACCUCCAAUCUAGCUCCUAACAGGUACCAAAUAUGGAUAAAUAGAUAGACACAUGAAAAGAAAAUCAAAAGCAACCUAAAGGUAUAGUAAACCUAAAGACCUCAAUUGAUUAAUCCACAAUUGAUUAACACCCAACUCUUACAAAGAGCUCAAGGGAAUCGAUAUCCCAAGCAACCCUCGUUUUUGAACAAUGUUCGACAAAAGCUUACCAAGCUUUCUGCACUCACAUAAGGAGUUAAAUUUAUCAUUUAUCAAUAUUCAAAAUCAGUCUUCCUAAAAUGAACCCUAAGACACCUAUUUAUAGUGUUAGGACUUGGGACUUAUUACAUAAAUGGGCCCAAAAAUGACCCGAAAUGGGAGAUGCGCCCAAUGGACUUGGCGAGGAACUCUGCUCCUUGACUUGGCUGGGGAGCUACUUGAACUUUGGGCGGUCUGGGGACCAUCACUCAAUCCAUUUGGCGAUGCGCCAAUGGCCUCCAUCUCGCCGAAUGGUCAGCUUUCCCUUAUGUAGCUCCUUGGACCAGUUGGCGACCUUGGGACUCUUGCCAAAAGGGGUUUGGUGAGUCGCCGAAGUCGCUGUCCUCUCGCCGAAUGGAGCACAUCUUCAAUUCCUCUUCCUCACUUCAUUAGGCCUCCCACGUUCCAAGCUAUCAUCCAAGCAUGGUGUUUCCCAAUUGGGAGCUGCUUUAAGGUGCAUAUGUUCCCAUGCAAGGCAUGAAACUUCCCCCUCGUCAUCCAUACGUGUUCAACAGCCUCCAUCCUUGUGAACGAUCCAUCAAUACUUUGAAGUUCGUGAAUGAAUAGCCUUGAGGUAAUCUGUAUUACAAGGGGAAUCACAAUCGAUGCGGUAACAAAAGAAAAGAUAGAAGAAGAGACACAAGAUAAGAAAUAAUUGGCAACUAAAGGAUGUAUUUAAUCCAAUAACCUCCAAUCUGGAUUGAUGAUUACUAUAAACUGGCAUGUCAAUGUGGUACUAUGAACAUUGCUAUAGCUUGUUCAUUAGUCUUUUUCUCGAUACAUUCACUGCUGCCACUGACAUUUAUCAAAUUGGAUAUCUACUGCUUAAACCCCAUAAUUUAACAAAAAAAGAAAACUUAUUUGUUCGACCAUCUUUGUUAGCUGUUAUUUCUAUUUAAACUUGUGGUUUGACUCAAUACCAAGAAAAAGGAGCAUUAUUGGUUUCCUUAUUCGUUGGACCAAAUGACUCACAAAUUAAUGUGAACAAAGUUAGGAAGACUAGGAAGUUUUUUUUGUAACAUCUGUGAACAUUACCAUAAUGACAUUUAUAACAAACGAGAAUUACAACUUUGAUCACCUAACAGCACAACAUUCCUAGCAGUGUUAUCAAGGCGAAGAACACAAAAAAGCUCUAAGGUCUGUGAGGGCUUUAAGCGUAAAGCGCAAAUAAAGUGUGGGCUUUAAUGAAAAAAGGCGCAAAGGGAGAAAAGAUACAAAUAUUUAUGUUUAGUCUAAGACUAAUAAUUUAUAAACAUGAAUGACAAAAAUAUGACCAAAGAAAUUGAAAAAAAGUUGAUGAUAUAGUGAAAUAUCAAUUAUUCAGUGUCACUUCUUCGAGGCUUAUUGACAAGGAAAUGUUUGCCUUAGAACCUUGAUGACGACACUGAAGCGCACAUAAAGCAAAGCGCACAUAAAGCGAGGGGAAGCACUCAACCCGUUUCGAGCCUCGCUUCAGGGCUUAAGCGCGCCUUUGAUAACAUUGAUUCCUCGUCUAUUCUCUUCUCCUCACAACUAGUUACCAGUUAAAGUUUGAAUAGAACUCUUACAUUUAUACAGUUUUUUUGAUUCCCAAAUCUAGCUAUCCUGUCUAUGAAUUCCUUUUUGAUCUGUGUUAUAACUUGCUCCUUUUGUACAUUUACUGCUCUAUAUAUUUUCCAAUUCUUUGCUCUCCAAGUGUGAUAUACCAUAGCCCCCAUAGAGCAGCAAUUAUUUCUUUCUUUGCUUUACUUCAAUACUUUCUUUUGAUUUCCUGUAGUACCCGAUCAUUUCCAGUUGCUUCUAUCUGUAUGUGAGUCACUGCAUGAUUGCUUCAUUUACCUUCUGCGUCCAUACACAUGACCAAAUAAAUGGACUGUUGUCCCGACCUCAUGUGUGUCACAAAGACAACACUCUCCUUUUUCCACCUUAAUGUUCAUCUAUAUUAACUUUCUUUCGUAAGGAGUCUGCCCAGUGUAGCUAACCACAAUAUAAACUUGUGCCUUGGUUGUGCUAUUCUAUUCCAAAUCAAUGCAGCAUUUUCCAAAGAGUUCUCCAAAGCGUUUUAAUGCUUCAUUUCAUUCUUCAAUCCAUUUAGUUUCUUCCAGUACUAACUACUGUUUGGAGGAGCAAUAUGAGACCAAAUAUUAUCAUCUGAUUUCAUAUAGACGACGUGUACCCACUUGACCCACAAAGAUUCUUUAUGCUCGAUUAAUUGCCCUAACAGCUUUCCGACCGAAGCAACAUUCCAGUCAUGGCAACCUUUAAUGUGGAGCCCCCGUACUUCAUAGGUAUGCAGACCUUCUCCCACGAGACCAAGGCUAUUCGUCUUUUAUGUUUAGUGUGGAGACCAAGGCUAUUCGUCUUUUAUCUUUAGUACUUUCCCAUAAGUAGGUCCUACAAAUUUUAUCCACCUCUUUGACAACACUAUGGGGGUAGUAUAAAGACAGAUUCCCAGAAGUUAUGUAUCGAGAAUAUGACUGAUGUUAUCACUUGUAACCUUCCUGCGUAUGAUAACUUCUUCGAAUAAGUGACAGUUAUCCGCUGGGUUAUUUUGGCAAUCUGUUGAUGACAUUCCAUCUUCGACCACUUCUUGGAGGACAAA